GGACGGGUGAGUAAUGCCUAGGAAAUUGCCCUGAUGUGGGGGAUAACCAUUGGAAACGAUGGCUAAUACCGCAUGAUGCCUACGGGCCAAAGAGGGGGACCUUCGGGCCUCUCGCGUCAGGAUAUGCCUAGGUGGGAUUAGCUAGUUGGUGAGGUAAGGGCUCACCAAGGCGACGAUCCCUAGCUGGUCUGAGAGGAUGAUCAGCCACACUGGAACUGAGACACGGUCCAGACUCCUACGGGAGGCAGCAGUGGGGAAUAUUGCACAAUGGGCGCAAGCCUGAUGCAGCCAUGCCGCGUGUGUGAAGAAGGCCUUCGGGUUGUAAAGCACUUUCAGUCGUGAGGAAGGUAGUGUAGUUAAUAGCUGCAUUAUUUGACGUUAGCGACAGAAGAAGCACCGGCUAACUCCGUGCCAGCAGCCGCGGUAAUACGGAGGGUGCGAGCGUUAAUCGGAAUUACUGGGCGUAAAGCGCAUGCAGGUGGUUUGUUAAGUCAGAUGUGAAAGCCCGGGGCUCAACCUCGGAAUUGCAUUUGAAACUGGCAGACUAGAGUACUGUAGAGGGGGGUAGAAUUUCAGGUGUAGCGGUGAAAUGCGUAGAGAUCUGAAGGAAUACCGGUGGCGAAGGCGGCCCCCUGGACAGAUACUGACACUCAGAUGCGAAAGCGUGGGGAGCAAACAGGAUUAGAUACCCUGGUAGUCCACGCCGUAAACGAUGUCUACUUGGAGGUUGUGGCCUUGAGCCGUGGCUUUCGGAGCUAACGCGUUAAGUAGACCGCCUGGGGAGUACGGUCGCAAGAUUAAAACUCAAAUGAAUUGACGGGGGCCCGCACAAGCGGUGGAGCAUGUGGUUUAAUUCGAUGCAACGCGAAGAACCUUACCUACUCUUGACAUCCAGAGAACUUUCCAGAGAUGGAUUGGUGCCUUCGGGAACUCUGAGACAGGUGCUGCAUGGCUGUCGUCAGCUCGUGUUGUGAAAUGUUGGGUUAAGUCCCGCAACGAGCGCAACCCUUAUCCUUGUUUGCCAGCGAGUAAUGUCGGGAACUCCAGGGAGACUGCCGGUGAUAAACCGGAGGAAGGUGGGGACGACGUCAAGUCAUCAUGGCCCUUACGAGUAGGGCUACACACGUGCUACAAUGGCGCAUACAGAGGGCGGCCAACUUGCGAAAGUGAGCGAAUCCCAAAAAGUGCGUCGUAGUCCGGAUUGGAGUCUGCAACUCGACUCCAUGAAGUCGGAAUCGCUAGUAAUCGUGGAUCAGAAUGCCACGGUGAAUACGUUCCCGGGCCUUGUACACACCGCCCGUCACACCAUGGGAGUGGGCUGCAAAAGAAGUAGGUAGUUUAACCUUCGGGGGGACGCUUACCACUUUGUGGUUCAUGACUGGGGUGAAGUCGUAACAAGGUAGCGCUAGGGGAACC
rnacentral:rRNA from 1 species